ensembl:lncRNA
UCAUGAAUCAAUGAUUUUCAAUUAGAGAAUAACUUACUUACAACAAGACUGAGAGCCUAAACAAUUUAAGGAAACUGGGACAAUAGAAUAAAGUGAGAAGAGGAUGGAACAAAACAACUUUUCGCACUCUUACAAGGGUAAGGAUGAGGGCAUGUGCAAAGAAGAAGAGGAGACAUCUGAAUCCAAGUAAAUGGAUAUCCCAUCACAGGGUCAAAUUUACUUUCAAAACAGGUCCUUCCCAAGUAGAUCUGCUUAUGCUCUGCAGUAGACCUGACAGGCUUCAAUCACUGUUGAGAUUAUGCCACCUUCUGGUUGCUAUGCAGAUGACAGUUACUCAUGUUUACAGCCGGCUCUUUUCUGUUUUAUGCAAAACUUAGAUUGAUGGGAAACCGCAGCUCUGUUCCUUGUACUGUGCACUCUCCUCCCUAGGGAACCGUAUUGGGAUGAGAACACGAUCUAUAAGUGUCCUCUAGUGAAUGCUUUGCUUGAAAAUUUGAGUUUGUCUUUUAAGCCUGAUCAACUAUAAUGGUAUAUGAUAGACCAGACCCUCCAAUGUACCAGCGAGGAAGGAUUUGCUUUGCCUCUCGUUUCCCAGGCUGCCGCUUUCUACACUUCUGAGAGUCAGGAAAAGCAGCCCAAGCAAUGUAACAAAGCUUCUACCAGUCGGCACAAGCAGAUGAGACUGCGUGCCAUUGUUUCUCAGAACCCUGACAGCAGCCAAUAACACACAGCCUCACUUCUGGACAAAUGUUAGCUGUGGAAUUCUGGCCAAAUGAUGACUAAGGGAAUUUUGUUACAACCCCCCGCCCCGUUCCUGUCCACUCCAUCCUGGUCCUAGUUGGAUCCAACAGCUCAGAUUUGGGAGUACUGAUCUAGAACGGCUUUUUGCCUCAAAAGAAUGGGCAUAUGGUACCAAAAAAGGCUUCUUGUAUAUGUCACAAAAAUCUAAAGGAAAUAAGAUAUUCUAAAAUAAAGUCAUGAGGAGGAAGAGCAUUCCAGGCAUGGGAAAUAGCCAAUUCAAAAACCUAGAGAAAAGAGAUUGGAUGUCUCGUGUAAGAAACAGCAAGAAGGACUAUUUGGCUGGACCAUCAAAUAAGGUAGACUCUGUUGUGAAUUCUGAGGACGUCGAGAUUUAUUUUUCCUACAUUCUGCUUAGCCAUUGCAAUAGUGCUUUUUGUUGCAACACUGGCUCGAAGCAUGAAGAGAAGGCAGCCGGGGCCUCAAAAUUGAAAGCUAAUUUCAGUGUUUGUCAUAAGUUUGUUAAGACCACAUGCAUUCCACAGUUUGAAAAAUUUCAUUAUUCUGUCCAUGCUGGGGCUUCGUAAUUGGAUAGUAAGGAUGUUCAAAGACUAAUUUAGUGAAUUGCACAAUAUUUUAAAUGGAAUUAUGCAGGUUUAUGGGUCCUCCGGGGAUUGAGCUAGGAGCCUCUUGAGAAAAUCUGUUUAUCAGUAAAUGAUAUUAGCAGCCUUCACCUAGCUUUUGUCUUCAUUAAAUUGCUGCUCUCCCAAUUGAGGGUCACAUCUGAGGCCUGCUUUGAUAAUUUGUCAUUAUUGUCUUGUUUAUUGGAGCAUAAAGUUGAUACAGCAAAGGCUGUGCUGUGUCUACACAAUGUGCAAAGAAGUUUUAUUAACAACAGCUCAGCCCAAGCCAAAUCAAAGUGGAAUUUUCAGGACUCAAACCAUUUCGUUUCCACAGAAACUCUAUGAGUACAUGUUAUGCCCUCCUUUUCUAAUGCUGAUGACAUGUAAGAGCAUUAAUAAUGUUACCUGAAUAAAUUGCUAUUUGGGUGCUUUUUCUUAUAAUAA